rnacentral:rRNA from 1 species
UACGGGGGGGGCAAGCGUUGUUCGGAAUUACUGGGCGUAAAGGGCUCGUAGGCGGCCAACUAAGUCGGAUGUGAAAUCCCCAGGCUUAACCUGGGAACUGCAUCUGAUACUGGAUGGCUUGAAUCCGGGAGAGGGAUGCAGAAUUCCAGGUGUAGCGGUGAAAUGCGUAGAUAUCUGGAGGAAUACCGGUGGCGAAGGCGGCAUCCUGGACCGGCAUUGACGCUGAGACGCGAAAGCGUGGGGAGCAAACAGG